UACGAGCGGAGGCUGCGCUUGUUGAGCCUGGAUGAUAUGGAGCGGCUGGCAACCUGCAUGCUUCACCCUGAGGCUGUGGAGUGCAUGGAGCUGUCCUUCCUGGACUGAGGAAUACUGCUCUGCCCUCUCCACCUCUCCCCUCUCUUCUCCCCUCUCCCCUCUCUCCUCUCCUCUGUACUCUCUCCUCCCACUGUCCUCUUCUCUCCUUACUUUGUUUAAAAGAAUAGAAGCACACCCAGUGAGCAAGGCAUUGAGCAGCCCCACAUCCCGCUUCACAAUACCGCUACAUAUUGACUGACUGUUCGCAUUGUGUGUGUUUGGUAAGACAAACCACAUUUUCUACUUCUACUUUCUACGAUUGGGCAAGUCAGCGGUUGUUUGAUAACAGAACAUAAAACAUCACAGAGUGGGUUGAACUGCAUUGCUGCAAACCAAGGCCCUUUAAAAUGUGUACCUUCCCAGCUCAGGUAUUGCUGAGGUAAAGAGACACUUCCUACAGGAGGACAGGACGUUGUCAAGGAGGGGAUGUCGUCACGUGUCCUGAGGGCUUUCUUAAAAGCGUCUGUGAGGAUGAGAAGGUCUCCACAGUCUGGAGUCUGGUCUCUGACAGGCUCAACAUACCUGUCAAUCAACAGGGACUCCUCUACAAAGGCAAGGCGCUGGCAGAUGAGCACAGACUGUCACAUGACUCCAUCGCUCCCGAUUCCAAGCUGAACUCGUUGUGACGCCCCCAACAGAGAAAGUGUCACCCGAGCAAGAACAGCACUCCGUGUCACCCCUCCUCUCAGACCUCACCCCUCACCCUCGCCUCACCCCUCCUGUCACACCUCACCCCUCGCCACACCCCUCCUCUCACACCUCACCCCUCCUCUCACCCCUCGCCUCAACCCUCCUGUCACCCCUCGCCCCUCCUCUCACCCCUCGCCUAACCCCUCCUCUCAUGCCUCGCCUCACCCCGGGUCAGUGUGGCACAGCCUGCCUGCUCUUCUGAACAAACACUUCAGCCCUGCCGACGCAGUGAGAGUCUGGAGCAGCAACACAAGGAUUACGAGCGGAGGCUGCGCUUAUUGAGCCUGGAUGAUAUGGAGCGGCUGGCGACCUGCAUGCUUCACCCUGAGGCAAUGGGGAGUGCAUGGAGCUGUCCUUCCUGGACUGAGCAAUACUGCUGCUGCCCUCUCCACCUCUCCCCUCUCUCCUCCCCCUCUCCUUACUUUGUUUAAAAGAAUAGAAGCACACCCAGUGAGCAAGGUAUUGAGCAGCCCCACAUCCCGCUUCACAAUACCGCUACAUAUUGACUGACUGUUCGCAUUGUGUGUGUUUGGUAAGACAAACCACAUUUUCUCCUUUCUGCUAUUUUAAAAGGAGCCCAGUUUGGUGCAGGAGGCUUGUGGGUAACAGAGUGUGUUUUUGCUGGGGACUGCAGCCCUUCCAUUACCAUUGCUCGUAGAGGGGAGAUUGUUUUACUUUCAAGCCUUUUUCUUUAAUAAAUCCGGACGUUUGGAAAUACA